AUUUUUAUUUUUUCAUUAAACAAAUUAAUAUAAAUAAUUAAUUAUGUGGAUAAGACAGGGGAGGGGGCAAAAUCCAUAAAAACAUAAAACAGAGGGGUAAAAUUCCGAGUUUUAAAAUGCGAUAGUCAAAAUCUAGAAUCAAUCAAAAUAGGGGGAUAAAAUUCCGAGUUUUAAGAUAGGAGGGCAAAAUCCAAAUUCAAUCAAAAUAGAGGGUAAAACUGCACUUAAGCCUUAAAAAUAAAAAGGCAACCACCAUUUGCAGCUUUUUUAAUUAAUUAAAACAAAAUUUGUUGGAUGGGUUGCUCAAUAAUUUUUUAACGGUAAAACAAGCCUCGCUCAACAUACUAUAACAAGCUUCAAUCAAUUGACCUUAAGGUUGAAUAUUUCUCAUCCACAUUUUAAGAUUAAAACUAGCGAUAAGUGUGUUAAGGGGAAAUAGUAAGGUGCUGGAUGUUAGAGAUUUGUGGUUAGGUCAACCUCGUCCUUCUUCCUUCGGUUUGGAGGAUAUGAUCGAUUUAUCUUCUUGGACAUAGUUUUUUAGUACGAGUUUUGGUCAUUCCUACUCCUUUUACGAGUGAGGUGAAAAUGAUUUUGAGCUGGAGCUGAUAGUAAAUGUAUGUUUGAACUAACGAAAAUGAUAAUGACGACAUAACUCUUUGUUAACUUGUGUCCUUAUAAUAUAGAUAAAUAUCCUUAUAACGACUAAUAUUAAUUCUUUUUCAAUAAAUUAUCACCAUUAAUGAAAUAACAUUAAUGCUUAAUAUUUGCUCGAAGGACACAAAUUUACCUAACCCAUUCUUUAAAGCUUCAAAUUACUGUCUUUGUCAAAAUGACUCUUGUAAAUCACACUAUUAAUUGACGAAUACAUGUUAGUCUAUCAAAAGUAAAAUCAUUU
rnacentral:lncRNA from 1 species